rnacentral:rRNA from 1 species
AAACAUGUCUUUUUGUAAUUAAUAAAAAGUCUAACCUGCCCACUGAUAUUUUUAACGGCCGCAGUACACUAACUGUGCAAAGGUAGCAUAAUAAUUAGUCUUUUAAUUGAAGGCUGGAAUGAAUGGUUGGACGAGAUAUAUUCUGUUUCAUAUGAAAUUAAAUUAGAAUUUUAUUUUUUAGUCAAAAAGCUAAAAUAUUUUUAAAAGACGAGAAGACCCUAUAAAGCUUUAUACUAAUAAAAUAUUAAAUAAAUAGAAUGUUUAAUUUUAUAUUUUAGAGAGUAUUUUAUUGGGGUGAUAUUAAAAUUUUAUAAACUUUUAAUUCAUAUAACACUUAUGAGUGAGUUUUUGAUCCGUUUUUAACGAUUAAUAAUUUAAGUUACUUUAGGGAUAACAGCGUAAUUUUUCUGGAGAGUUCAUAUCGAUAGAAAAGAUUGCGACCUCGAUGUUGGAUUAAGAAAUAUGUUUAGGCGCAGCAGCUUAA